ACGGACGCACUCUUUCGUCGCGCCGAACGCAUGCUGAUGAAAACAUCCUCGGGUUUCCGAACCUAUCGACGUCCCCGAACUUCUUUCUAACGUAAACUCUAAGAGUUCCCUCUGUGUUACGCAUCCGAAAUCCCUCUCGUUUUUCCGUACCGACUCCACACGACUCGAUACGGACACAAUCGUCCACCACACCGGGAUUCUCCGUGUUUCUGGCCUCACUUUUAACCAUUCUUCUCUCUCCUAUACUUUAUCGCACGCUCGGUUUUAAUACCGUAAUCCGAUUAUUUGUUUACACGUGAUUUGUUUGUUU